rnacentral:rRNA from 1 species
CCUACGGGAGGCAGCAGUGGGGAAUAUUGCUCAAUGGGGGAAACCCUGAAGCAGCAACGCCGCGUGAAGGAUGAAGGUUUUCGUAUUGUAAACUCCUUUUAUUAGGGAAGAUAAUGACGGUAUCUGACGAAGAAGCCCCGGCUAACUCCGUGCCAGCAGCCGCGGUAAUACGGAGGGUGCAAGCGUUAUCCGGAAUUACUGGGCGUAAAGAGCGCGUAGGCGGGAUAGCAAGUCAGAUGUGAAAUGCUAGGGCUCAACCCGAGAACUGCAUUGGAAACUGUACUGCUAGAGUGCGGGAGAGGUAGGUGGAAUUCUUGGUGUAGCGGUGAAAUGCGUAGAGAUGAAGAGGAACACUGAUUGCGAAGGCGGCUUGCUGGAACGUAACUGACGCUGAUGCGCGAAAGCGUGGGGAGCAAACAGGAUUAGAUACCCGGGUAGUC